UCAGAUUGAACGCUGGCGGCAGGCUUAACACAUGCAAGUCGAGCGGAAACGAAGAUAGCUUGCUAUCUGGCGACCGGACGCCUGAGUAACGCGUAGGAAUCUACCUAGUAGUGGGGGAUAGCCCAGAGAAAUUUGGAUUAAUACCGCAUACGCCCUAUGGGGGAAAGCAGGGGAUCUUCGGACCUUGCGCUAUUAGAUGAGCCUGCGUGAGAUCAGCUAGUUGGUGGGGUAAAGGCUCACCAAGGCGACGAUCUCUAGCUGGUCUGAGAGGAUGAUCAGCCACACUGGGACUGAGACACGGCCCAGACUCCUACGGGAGGCAGCAGUGGGGAAUAUUGGACAAUGGGGGCAACCCUGAUCCAGCCAUGCCGCGUGUGUGAAGAAGGCCUUCGGGUUGUAAAGCACUUUCAGCGAGGAGGAAGGGGUGUUACUUAAUACGUCAAGUUCUUGACGUUACUCGCAGAAGAAGGACCGGCUAACGCCGUGCCAGCAGCCGCGGUAAUACGGAGGGUCCGAGCGUUAAUCGGACUUACUGGGCGUAAAGCGCGCGUAGGCGGUUAGAUCAGUCAGAUGUGAAAGCCCUGGGCUCAACCUGGGAACUGCAUCCCAAACUGGCUCACUAGAGUACGCUAGAGGGGGGUAGAAUUUCAGGUGUAGCGGUGAAAUGCGUAGAUAUCUGAAGGAAUACCAGUGGCGAAGGCGACACUCUGGACCAAUACUGACGCUGAGGUGCGAAAGCGUGGGGAGCAAACAGGAUUAGAUCCCCUGGUAGUCCACGCCGUAAACGAUGUCAACUAGCCGUUUGUGGACUUUAUCCGGAGUGGCGCAGCUAACGCGUUAAGUAGACCGCCUGGGGAGUACGGCCGCAAGGUUAAAACUCAAAUGAAUUGACGGGGGCCCGCACAAGCGGUGGAGCAUGUGGUUUAAUUCGAUGCAACGCGAAGGACCUUACCAUCCCUUGACAUCCAGAGAACUUACUAGAGAAAGUUUGGUGCCUUCGGGAACUCUGAGACAGGUGCUGCAUGGCUGUCGUCAGCUCGUGUUGUGAGAUGUUGGGUUAAGUCCCGCAACGAGCGCAACACCUAUCCUUAUUUGCCAGCGCGUUAUGGCGGGAACUCUAAGGAGACUGCCGGUGACAAACCGGAGGAAGGUGGGGACGACGUCAAGUCAUCAUGGCCCUUACGGGAUGGGCUACACACGUGCUACAAUGGCCGGUACACAGGGCAGCAAACCAGCGAUGGUGAGCGAAUCCCACAAAGCCGGUCGUAGUCCGGAUUGGAGUCUGCAACUCGACUCCAUGAAGUCGGAAUCGCUAGUAAUCGUGGAUCAGAAUGCCGCGGUGAAUACGUUCCCGGGCCUUGUACACACCGCCCGUCACACCAUGGGAGUGGGUUGCAAAAGAAGUAGGUAGCUUAAUCUUCGGAAGGACGGUCACCACUUUGUGAUUCAUGACUGGGGUGAAGUCGUAACAAGGUAACCCUAGGGGAUCCUGGGGUUG
rnacentral:rRNA from 1 species